UUGGAGGGCAAGUCUGGUGCCAGCAGCCGCGGUAAUUCCAGCUCCAAUAGCGUAUAUUAAAGUUGUUGCAGUUAAAAAGCUCGUAGUUGAACCUUGGGUCUGGCUGGCCGGUCCGCCUCACGGCGUGCACUGGUCCGGCUGGACCUUUCCUUCUGGGGAACCCUAUGGCCUUCACUGGCUGUAGGGGGAACCAGGACUUUUACUGUGAAAAAAUUAGAGUGUUCAAAGCAGGCCUUUGCUCGGAUACAUUAGCAUGGAAUAAUAGAAUAGGACGUGUGGUUCUAUUUUGUUGGUUUCUA
rnacentral:rRNA from 1 species